GAAUUUGAUCUGGUUCAGGAUGAACGCUGGCGGCGUGCCUAACACAUGCAAGUCGAACGGAAAUUACAGAAGGAAGUUUCGGAUGGAAUUUGUAAUUUAGUGGCGGACGGGUGAGUAACACGUGGGUAACCUGCCCUGUACCGGGGGAUAACAGUUGGAAACGGCUGUUAAUACCGCAUAAGCGCACAGCUCCGCAUGGAGCAGUGUGAAAAACUCCGGUGGUACAGGAUGGACCCGCGUCUGAUUAGCUUGUUGGCGGGGUAACGGCCCACCAAGGCGACGAUCAGUAGCCGGCCUGAGAGGGUGAACGGCCACAUUGGGACUGAGACACGGCCCAGACUCCUACGGGAGGCAGCAGUGGGGAAUAUUGCACAAUGGAGGAAACUCUGAUGCAGCGAACCGCCGCGUGAGCGAUGAAGUAUUUCGGUAUGUAAAGCUCUAUCAGCAGGGAAGAUAAUGACGGUACCUGACUAAGAAGCCCCGGCUAACUACGUGCCAGCAGCGGC
rnacentral:rRNA from 1 species